rnacentral:rRNA from 1 species
CCCUUAGACGUUCUGGGCCGCACGCGCGCUACACUGACCAGUGCAACAAGCAUCCGUCCUUGGCCGACAGGCUCGGGCAAUCUUUGAACGCUGGUCGUGAUGGGGAUAGACUUUCGCAAUUUUUGGUCUUCAACGAGGAAUUCCUAGUAAACGCAAGUCAUCAACUUGCAUUGAUUACGUCCCUGCCCUUUGUACACACCGCCCGUCGCACCUACCGAUUGAAUGGUCCGGUGAAGCCUCCGGAUUGGCGCGCACCUCGGUGCCGCCGAGAAGUUGGCUAAACCUUACCAUUUAGAGGAAGGUGAAGUCGUAACA